rnacentral:rRNA from 1 species
UUAGGCCUACGGGGCGCAGCAGUCGAGAAUCAUUCACAAUGGGGGAAACCCUGAUGGUGCGACGCCGCGUGGGGGCAUGAAGGUCUUCGGAUUGUAAACCCCUGUCAUGUGGGAGCAAAUUAAAAAGAUAGUACCACAAGAGGAAGAGACGGCUAACUCUGUGCCAGCAGCCGCGGUAAUACAGAGGUCUCAAGCGUUGUUCGGAAUCACUGGGCGUAAAGCGUGCGUAGGCUGUUUCGUAAGUCGUGUGUGAAAGGCGCGGGCUCAACCCGAGGCCGGCACAUGAUACUGCGAGACUAGAGUAG